CCCUAUGGGGUGCAGCAGGCGAGAAAACUUUGCAAUGUGCGAAAGCACGACAAGGUUAAUCCGAGUGGUUUCUGCUAAAGGAACCUUUUGUUAGUCCUAGAAACACUAACGAAUAAGGGGUGGGCAAGUUCUAGUGUCAGCCGCCGCGGUAAAACCAGCACCUCAAGUGGUCAGGAUGAUUAUUGGGCCUAAAGCAUCCGUAGCCGGCUCUGUAAGUUUUCGGUUAAAUCUGUACGCUCAACGUACAGGCUGCCGGGAAUACUGCAGAGCUAGGGAGUGGGAGAGGUAGACGGUACUCGGUAGGAAGGGGUAAAAUCCUUUGAUCUAUUGAUGACCACCUGUGGCGAAGGCGGUCUACCAGAACACGUUCGACGGUGAGGGAUGAAAGCUGGGGGAGCAAACCGGAUUAGAUACCCGGGUAGUCCCAGCUGUAAACGAUGCAGACUCGAUGAUGCAUUGGCAUAUAGCCAGUGCAGUGUCGCAGGGAAGCCGUUAAGUCUGCCGCCUGGGAAGUACGUACGCAAGUAUGAAACUUAAAGGAAUUGGCGGGGGAGCACCACAAGGGGUGAAGCCUGCGGUUCAAUUGGAGUCAACGCCAGAAAUCUUACCCGGAGAGACAGCAGAAUGAAGGUCAAGCUGAAGACUUUACCAGACAAGCUGAGAGGGAAGUGCAUGG
rnacentral:rRNA from 1 species